UCCCCCACUACCACAAAUUAUGCAGUCGAGUUUCCCACAUUUGGGGAAAUUGCAGGGGUCAGCACAUCCGGAGUGCAAUGGAUAAGCCUUGCCCUGGGAAAACCACCUUUAGAUUGGCAGAGCACA